AGAUUGAACGCUGGCGGCAGGCCUAACACAUGCAAGUCGAGCGGCAGCACGGGUACUUGUACCUGGUGGCGAGCGGCGGACGGGUGAGUAAUGCCUAGGAAUCUGCCUGGUAGUGGGGGAUAACGCUCGGAAACGGACGCUAAUACCGCAUACGUCCUACGGGAGAAAGCAGGGGACCUUCGGGCCUUGCGCUAUCAGAUGAGCCUAGGUCGGAUUAGCUAGUUGGUGAGGUAAUGGCUCACCAAGGCGACGAUCCGUAACUGGUCUGAGAGGAUGAUCAGUCACACUGGAACUGAGACACGGUCCAGACUCCUACGGGAGGCAGCAGUGGGGAAUAUUGGACAAUGGGCGAAAGCCUGAUCCAGCCAUGCCGCGUGUGUGAAGAAGGUCUUCGGAUUGUAAAGCACUUUAAGUUGGAGGAAGGCAGUUACCUAAUACGUAUCUGUUUUGACGUUACCGACAGAAUAAGCUACCGGCUAACUCUGUGCCAGUACG
rnacentral:rRNA from 1 species